GCUCCCGGCUGCUCCCCUGCCUCGGGAGCUCGGCCCCCGAGUGAGGACAUGCUCUAGGUGCCGCCAGCGUCUAGCUCCGCGGCACGGGCACCGGCGAUAGUAGCCGGCUGCAUGGCUCGAAGGUCAACAGCCGGACAGGGAAAGGCGCGCCCUUCUGAUUGGCUGCGCCGCGCCGCGUGCCUCGGCAUCCUCCAGUUGGCUGCUUCUGUAUAGCGUGGGGGCGGGACGUCCGACCGGAUCGCUGGGGCUCACAGUCCAGCCUGGAAGUCCCCCGUUUAAGCCUCCUGACUGUUGGCAAUCACAAGAGUGCAGCAAUAUCCCCAGAGCACAUGUCAACUCUCCAGCUGCUUGUUGGCAGAGACAGUCUCCAAUCUGAGAUUUCCUUCUCUUUAUGCCGUUGUCUCUAACCCACUACUAUUGGGCAAGUUCAGCUCACAAAUUACCUUAAGCUGUUUAGUCACCUUUUUAUUGCACAGCAGGAAUCUAUUGGACACAUAUGCUUGCCUUGUCCUCUGCUCUGUCCCUGCUACCAAACACCCAGACUGCUGCAACUUUGGAAUUAAGAAACCCGUUCUGAUCCUUGCACACUUUGUCCAAAUAAAAAUGGACUUUCUUACCAUUGAA